CGGCAAUCAUCGGAACGGUGCAUCCGAAAGUUAAUAAGCCGCCAUUGUUAUGAAAAAACUCGUACCGAGAUGGAAUUGUUUUCUGGUUUUCAUGCCAUAUGAUCGCGAUUUUCGACCUCAAACAGGCAUGAAUGCGUGGAGUCCGGACUUGGAUAUGACCAGACAUUGAUUACGUGUAUCACAGUGGUGGCUGUUCCCAAAAUACCCGUAUGUCCAAGCCGAUGUGAUGUGAUAUGUAAUCACGAGCCUGCACAUCGACAGAGAAGAAACCGUAACUACACAGGAGGAGGCAAAAAUACAUGCAGUUCGGAGAAAUUACAGUGAUA